AUUACAGUCUAUGAAGACGUGAACACUGCAAAGAAACGAUCUGAAAGUGUUGUAAACGGGAUGUCCAUUUAUGAAACGGUGAAUGACAUAAAACUCUCACAAGACUUGCCUCAAACCCUGUAUGACAAAGUCAACUACCAGCGUCAGCCUGUUGUCAGAGCCAGCACUUCCUCCCCUUACCAGGAAGUCCUGUGAGUGUGAGACAGACAGACGGUUCUUGUAUUGUUUUGUCAUCUUAUAUCUGGAUUGAGUUAACCAGCCUCCCAUAUGUAUUAUUGGCUGCAUCAUUUGACCUUUGAACUCUUGCAUUAAAUGCACUGUGCAUUCAAGGUAUCAUGUUGGAACACUUUUUUAUUUUUUUUUAUUAUUAUUUUAUUGUAAUUUUUUUUUUUUGCAGAAUUCACUAUGCAGCACAAUAUUUCAUUAUGCACACUAUCAUUCAAAAAUCGAAUUGGGCUCAGUAAGUAAGAUUCUUUUGGAAAAAAGUAUUUUAUGCUCAUCAAGGCUGCGUUUAUUUGAUGAGAAAUACAGUAAAAACUGUGAAAUAUUUUU
rnacentral:lncRNA from 1 species